UGCGUAGGUGGUUUCUUAAGUCAGAGGUGAAAGGCUACGGCUCAACCGUAGUAAGCCUUUGAAACUGGGAAACUUGAGUGCAGGAGAGGAGAGUGGAAUCCCUAGUGUAGCGGUGAAAUGCGUAGAUAUAUGGAAGAACACCAGUGGCGAAGGCGGCUCUCUGGUCUGUAACUGACGCUGAGGCUCGAAAGCGUGGGGAGCAAACA
rnacentral:rRNA from 1 species